AGAAUCAACGCUGGCGGCGUGCCUCAGACAUGCAAGUCGAACGCGAAAGUCCCCUUCGGGGGCAAGUAGAGUGGCGCACGGGUGAGUAACACGUAGGUAAUCUACCUUUGGAUGGGGAAUAACAAUCGGAAACGGUUGCUAAUACCGCAUAAUGCAGCGGCACCUAAUGGUGACAGUUGUUAAAGCGGGGGAUCGAAAGACCUCGCGUCUGAAGAGGAGCCUGCGGCGGAUUAGCUAGUUGGUAAGGUAAUGGCUUACCAAGGCAACGAUCC
rnacentral:rRNA from 1 species